UACGAAGGGGGCUAGCGUUGUUCGGAAUCACUGGGCGUAAAGCGCACGUAGGCGGAUUUGUCAGUCAGGGGUGAAAUCCCGGGGCUCAACCUCGGAACUGCCUUUGAUACAGCAAGUCUUGAGUUCGAGAGAGGUGGGAGGAAUUCCUAGUGUAGAGGUGAAAUUCGUAGAUAUUAGGAAGAACACCGGUGGCGAAGGCGGCCCACUGGCUCGAUACUGACGCUGAGGUGCGAAAGCGUGGGGAGCAAACAGG
rnacentral:rRNA from 1 species